UUCCGGUUGAUCCUGCCGGACCUGACUGCUAUCGGAUUGAUACUAAGCCAUGCGAGUCAUUGUAGCAAUACAAGGCAGACGGCUCAGUAACGCGUAGUCAACCUAACCUAUGGACGGGAAUAACCUCGGGAAACUGAGAAUAAUGCCCGAUAGAACACUAUACCUGGAAUGGUUUGUGUUCCAAAUGAUUUAUCGCCGUAGGAUGGGACUGCGGCCUAUCAGUUUGUUGGUGAGGUAAUGGCCCACCAAGACUAUUACAGGUACGGGCUCUGAGAGGAGUAGCCCGGAGAUGGGUACUGAGACACGGACCCAGGCCCUGUGGGGCGCAGCAGGCGAGAAAACUUUGCAAUGUGCGAAAGCACGACAAGGUUAAUCCGAGUGGUUUGUGCUAAACGAACCUUUUGUCGGUCCUAGAAACACCGAUGAAUAAGGGGUGGGCAAGUUCUGGUGUCAGCCGCCGCGGUAAAACCAGCACCUCAAGUGGUCAGGAUGAUUAUUGGGCCUAAAGCAUCCGUAGCCGGCUCUGUAAGUUUUCGGUUAAAUCUGUACGCUCAACGUACAGGCUGCCGGGAAUACUGCAGAGCUAGGGAGUGGGAGAGGUAGACGGUACUCGGUAGGAAGGGGUAAAAUCCUUUGAUCUAUUGAUGACCACCUGUGGCGAAGGCGGUCUACCAGAACACGUCCGACGGUGAGGGGAUGAAAGCUGGGGGAGCAAACCGGAUUAGAUACCCGGGUAGUCCCAGCUGUAAACUAUGCAAACUCAGUGAUGCAUUGACUUGUGGUCAAUGCAGUGCUGCAGGG
rnacentral:rRNA from 1 species